GGUGGGGUGCCGGAGUGGUCGAACGGGGCGGUCUCGAAAACCGUUGUGCGUCCAUACGUACCGUGGGUUCGAAUCCCACCCCCACCGCCA
rnacentral:tRNA from 1 species